rnacentral:rRNA from 1 species
UACAGAGGUCCCGAGCGUUGUUCGGAUUCACUGGGCGUAAAGGGUGCGUAGGUGGCGAGGAAAGUCGGAUGUGAAAGCUCGGAGCUCAACUCCGAAACUGCAUUCGAUACUGCCGUGCUUGAGGACUGGAGAGGAGACUGGAAUUUACGGUGUAGCGGUGAAAUGCGUAGAUAUCGUAAGGAAGACCAGUGGCGAAGGCGGGUCUCUGGACAGUUCCUGACGCUGAGGCACGAAGGUCAGGGGAGCAAACGGG